rnacentral:misc_RNA from 1 species
UGAAUAAACAAUAACUUAUCAUUCCUCAAAAACUAAAUUGUAAAUUACCAUAACAGAAAUCAUCAACUACCAAAGAUGAAAAAACUAGAGAACUAUCUACUUCACCCUUUUCCUUCUCAGCUUCCUCUCUUUUCUCCUCCCAUGUCUUCACAUUCUCAAUAAAGCACAAGACUCAGUGUGACUGCUGCUCCAAGUCACAGUGAUUGUGUGUGCGGUGGGAGUAAAUUAUCCUGGGAAACGAAACUGUUUUUGUUCUCCUCAUUCAAACAGUAUCGUUAAUAAUUCAUCAAUACUUAGUCUGCAGAAGGACAAAUGAAACUAAUAUAUCCACUAUAAAAGUGCUUCUCAAUACAACAUGCUUCCUGCCUUGUGACACAAGGGAUGUCAUCUGUCAAAUGAAGCAAUCCGGCGGAGUUCCAGGGAGGUGAAGUUCAUGCAGGUAAAUAAAUUGACAUCGAUUUUAUGUCGGUGAGGAGGCAGAGAGAAUAAUCGGACAGUGGUGGUCGACGAGGAAAAAUAUGUCGAUAUCUAUGGAAUCAAGGUAGAGCAUUUUCCCUUGAAAAUCGCCAUGGUAGAGGUGCAUAUACAGAGGGGAUUUCAGUUGUUUUGGGGGGGGCCUGGGAGGGAUAGAAAUGGCGUGUGUUUUUGAGCAAAGGGAUGGAAAAUGAACGGUUCUUGAGCAAGAAAGUGAGGGA